rnacentral:rRNA from 1 species
GAUGAACGCUGGCGGCGUGCCUAAUACAUGCAAGUCGAGCGAACAGACGAGGAGCUUGCUCCUCUGACGUUAGCGGCGGACGGGUGAGUAACACGUGGAUAACCUACCUAUAAGACUGGGAUAACUUCGGGAAACCGGAGCUAAUACCGGAUAAUAUAUUGAACCGCAUGGUUCAAUAGUGAAAGACGGUUUUGCUGUCACUAAUAGAUGGAUCCGCGCCGCAUUAGCUAGUUGGUAAGGUAACGGCUUACCAAGGCAACGAUUCGUAGCCGACCUGAGAGGGUGAUCGGCCACACUGGAACUGAGACACGGUCCAGACUCCUGAGGGAGGCAGCAGUAGGGAAUCUUCCGCAAUGGGCGAAAGCCUGACGGAGCAACGCCGCGUGAGUGAUGAAGGUCUUCGGAUCGUAAAACUCUGUUAUUAGGGAAGAACAAAUGUGUAAGUAACUAUGCACGUCUUGACGGUACCUAAUCAGAAAGCCACGGCUAACUACGUG